rnacentral:sRNA from 1 species
AAAAAAAAGAGAAAACAA